rnacentral:tRNA from 1 species
UCCCUGAAGGACUAGUGGUUAGGCCUCUGUGCUCUUACUGCCGUGGCCCGGGUUCGAUUCCUGGCCAGGGAA